AAAAAGAUUAACAAAAUGGCAGCGCCCUUGAAGUGAUGUUACCUAUUGAUGUCAGUUACACAACUUUGUAAAAAGCAUGAGGAAAUAUGCCUCGGACACACUUUUUAUAAACAAAGUGAUUAAUAGGUUUAAAUAUUUCAACAGAAAGUUGGGAAACCAUCGAUAUUCGAUUGUUGCAUUUAUUGCAGGAGGUUGUAUCGAAUUGUGCAUGGUAAAGCUGCAAGCAAACGGUGCAAAUUUUUAUAAGUCAUUCUUAGAGAAACAAUCACUGAUCGAAGCAGAGAGACGUUUCUUCAAAGAAAGAAAUAAGGAAAUUGUAGAGAAAUUGAUGAAAAAUACACCAAAAGAAGAACUUGAUUCAGUGGAGUUUAAAAUAUGAUACGCUUUUUAAAGGAGUACUUCACCAAACAGACUUUGAAAUUUUAUUUGCAAAUGGGCUUUUGGAUGCUAGUGGGAAACCAGUGUGUCCAUAUGUAUUAUAAACCUCUUGCAAAUUUUGAAGAAGAAGUUCAGAAACAGCUUAGGAUUUUAGAAGAGAGAGCUGAGGAAGAAAAGGAUAAAUUGAAGGCUGGGAAGACAUGACUGUGAACAUGUAAUGACUAAUGACAGACAGCUAUUCCUCUCUUCAUCUCAUGAGACUUAGUUUGCCAAGAUGUUUGUGAAUACAGAUUUGCAUGUGAUAUUUUGUUAAUUUUUAUAAAUAAAAAUAUUUUGUCCAUAUU
rnacentral:sRNA from 1 species